UACGUAGGGCGCAAGCGUUGUCCGGAUUUAUUGGGCGUAAAGAGCUCGUAGGCGGUCUGUCGCGUCGGCUGUGAAAACCCGGGGCUCAACCCCGGGCCUGCAGUCGAUACGGGCAGACUAGAGUGCGGUAGGGGAGACUGGAAUUCCUGGUGUAGCGGUGAAAUGCGCAGAUAUCAGGAGGAACACCGGUGGCGAAGGCGGAUCUCUGGGCCGAUACUGACGCUGAGGAGCGAAAGCGUGGGGAGCGAACAGG
rnacentral:rRNA from 1 species